GAAAUUAGAGUGUGGACUUUUGAGGCACAAAACUAUUAGAUUCGACCAAAUCACUUUAUCAAAUCUGGAUAUGACUUUGUCUCCUGUAACUCACUCCUGGUAACGAGGUCUUCAAGACCUGCUGAAGGUGUUGGACCAGGAAAUGAGUGGUUGAAUGGACCCAUAGAUCCCUCAGAUUCCAUUGGGUUGAAGUCUUCACAGGUUCCUUUGGCCUACAGGAGAAUCCACAAAACAAAGGCAGCUGAAGCCAACCUGCAUUUUCUGGAGGUGCAGAUUUUCAGGUGAAGAAUCUGAUCAGAUGCUGCCGUCUCACAGCUGACUGAUUUAUGGAAAAGUGCAGACGGGACCAAAGGGUGGAAAUGAAGAUCAGACUCCUCUGUGAGAAACGUUCAGCAGCUGUACGGCAGAGCUGCUUGCAAUCUCGUCCAAGUGAGUCACUCACA